GGCUGGUGGGGCCGCGGGCGGUAGGGGGCUAGCGUCCGGCUGAGCCCCGCGGGUUCCAGCACGCGGCUCCACGCUCUGUCGGGCUGCUCUGCUGAGUGACACCGCCGUGGCAUCCAAGAAGCUGUGGUCCAGCCUGCGCGGCGGGAAGCGGCGGCGGCGGCGGCUGCAGCGUCCUAAGAGAAGCUGAAACCUAUCAACACUCUUCAAAAUGCAAUGGAAUGUACCACGGACUGUAUCUCGACUGGCACGCAGGACAUGCUUGGAACCACAUAAUGCUGGUCUCUUUGGACGCUGUCAAAAUGUAAAGGGACCUUUACUUUUAUACAAUGCUGAAUCCAAAGUGGUUUUGGUACAAGGCUCUCAAAAACAAUGGUUGCAUUUAUCUGCUGCCCAGUGUGUUGCAAAGGAAAGGAGGCCAUUGGAUGCUCAUCCACCCCAACCAGGAGUCCUUCGCCAUAAGCAAGGGAAGCAACAUGUUUCAUUCAGGAGGGUUUUUUCAUCCAAUGCCACAGCUCAGGGAACUCCGGAAAAAAAGGAAGAGCCUGAUCCUUUGCAAGACAAAUCUAUUAGUCUUUAUCAACGAUUCAAGAAGACAUUUAGACAGUAUGGAAAAGUUCUGAUUCCAGUGCAUCUAAUAACUUCCGGUGUUUGGUUUGGAACAUUUUAUUAUGCAGCCUUGAAAUUGCAACACCUGCUCGGUAUACCGUGACUUUGGGAGGAACAUCUGUCACUGUGAAGUAUCUGCGCAGUCAUGGCUACAUGUCCACACCGCCACCCGUCAAGGAGUAUCUGCAGGACAGGAUGGAAGAGACAAAGGAGCUUAUCACAGAGAAAAUGGAAGAAACAAAAGAUAGACUCACUGAAAAGUUACAAGAAACCAAAGAAAAAGUUUCCUUUAAGAAAAAGGUGGAAUAAGGUGCCUUAUAUAGCAGUAUAGGAAAUUCCUGCACUUUAACCCUUUGGAAACUAUGGGCAAAGGAUACAUGUGUCUGAUUAUUUUUUUGGUUAGUUGCCGAAAUAUACUAGUUCUCUGAGGGUUAAAGAAGUAAAAUACCUUUUUAAAGUUAAAUAUCACUAGAAAAAUCAGUGUUAUUACAAGGGAAGAAAUGAACCCAGUGUAAGAAUUUCCCAUCAGUAGCAGUAUUAAGCAGUGGUUAAUGUCUUAGAAGUCAGACUUCUUUUUCAAGGUCUUCAGAACCACACUUGAUUUCUGUUUUGUUGCAGCUGUAAUUGACACACACUAGACAGCUGACUCCUUGAAUAUCCAGUGUGACCCAUAAAAUAGGCUGUUAAUACCGGAUCUUAAUUUUUAUGUUAUUCAUUAAGAUUUUAACUAUAUCCAGUACAUAAUUUGGAGACAAACUAGCAUCAUCAAAACUGCCUGUAAAUAAGAAGG
rnacentral:sRNA from 1 species